AAUCUGUGUGUAGGCAUGGAAGCAAACAUCCUCUCUUGGCUUCUGCAGCAAAUUCCAAGUGGCAAUGGAACUUUACCUUCGCUGACUCUUUUGUUUCUUUUUUCCCGUGGAUUCUGUGCUUUUGUUUUUGUUUCUGGUUUUGGUUUUUAUAUAACUCAGAAGUUAUUUCCUAAUGUGCCAGAAAUGUUUGUGAAUUUGGUUUUAUAGCCUAUUUGAUCAUCCUUUUUAGGUGGAGACCUAUUCUGUUGGGUUAGAGAUGACAGAAAAUCUUAUUUGUCGGUUGGUUUGUUUGUUCAAGAAUACACUGACCUUCUACAAGAAAGGAGAGCUCUUUGACACCUGGAAAUUUUACAGAAGCUUGGGACAGCUCUGAAUGGCAACACGGUCCUGAGAUAUGUGAUUACCUGGGACUUUCAUUGGACCUGCAUUUCAGCUCUACUCUCCUCACUGCCCUAUGCUGCUUUGACCCUAAAAGUGAAGCCAGCUUGGCCAGGUGCAGUGACUCACACCUGUAAUCCCAGCACUUUGGGAGGCCGAGGUGGGCAAAUCAAGAAGUCAGGAAAUCGAGACCACCCUGGCCAACAUUGUGAAACACCAUCUCUACUAAAACACAAAAAAAUUAGCCAGGUGUGGUGGCACGCACCUGUAGUCCCAGCUACUCGGGAGGCUGAGGCAGGGGAAUCACUUGAACCCGUGAGGAGGAAAUUGCAGCGAGCCAAGAUCGCGCCACUGCACCCCAGCCUGGGCGACAGAGAGAGACUCCAUCUCAAAAACAAAACAAAACAAAACAAAAAAAACAAAAAGUGAAGCCAACUCAAUUGUCUCAUAGAACUGAUCUUUACGGUGUUUUUAAAUAAACAUAGAAAUUGGCCCUCCCAGUCUUAAAACUUCAAAAACUUACAUUUGUCUUACCUCAGUUCCUUUCUCAGGAAUCCAAUCAUCAAGGCUCCCAGAUAGUAUCAAUGAACGGAAACUUACCAGAUCACGAUAUCUGGACAAUGAGAUGUCAGAUCCCCCUCAUCCAUCCUGAUUACCUAACUGACUACCUGCUUCCUGUUGGCCAACUACUCUUCCUUACCCCUCCCUAAUUCUUGUUUUCCCACAAAUGGUUACAUUUCUGUCCUGCUAUAGAAGCCCUUAAUUUUAAUUGGUCGAGGAGAUGGAUUUGAGACUGAUUUUUUGCUCUCCUUGGCUGUUGCACCUGAAUAGCCUUUUUCCCUGGCAAUACUUUUUGUCUCAGUGAUUGGCUUUCUGUGCAGUGAGCAAUGGGACCAAACUUCUGGUGUUUUGGUAACAAAUUUUGGUUUCCUGACUGUGAAUGCAUUGCUUGUGACUCAGCUGCCAUGAGCUGGGAGAGUUUCAAAAGCCCUCUAAGCAGCUACCUGACCAUUUUGGCCAGAGGUGGAUUUUCGUCUCUCCCCAUUUGGGCCCACUUCUGCCAACCCCAACCAUGUUCCUGAUUGCCUAGGAAGAACAGCCUUUGAAAUUUGACGUCUAUGUACAGAAAGGUACAAACUGUUGCCUAAGGAUACAGGGUGUGUGGCUGGUGGCCUCAACAGGCCCCACGGCUCAGGCACUCAGACCCAAGCUGGUCCCUCAGCCCAUAUUACUAAAUGCCUGACUUCAGAAAAAAAACGUAAACAAAAGACAGAGAUUGGAAGCAUCAGAAUUUUAUUCCAGUGACUCAAUCCCCAUUGUGUGAAGUAGACCAGAAUGAAUAAAUUGAACUUACUCAGCACCUCAAUUAUUAAAUGUAUCCACAGAAAUUCAUUCUGUCAAGUUAACUGUGGAGGUUGUUGUUGCUAUUGCAGACUAAAUGGUUUUCCUGGGAACUCUGACUCUGGCCACAAGAUCAAGACUGACAAAUUUCCUUUCUCUGUUUAUGGAGGGAGACUUCACAACAUUCACUGAAAGAGGAGCAAAGGACCUGGUUUUUGCCAUGACUGGCUUUGGCCCCGUGAAUGAAUGUUUUUCUGGCAUUGGAAAGCGGAUAGCAAAGAGAGCAGAACCACAAAUGGGCUAUGAGGAAAUGUGUUCAAUGAAGAAAACAAAAUCUCUGACAAGAUCCAACAUAGGACAACAUCUCAGCAUCUUCUGUGAUUUGUGAACCCAAGUAAAGCACUUCUUAGAGUUAUCUGGCACAUUCGCAACUAAUAGCUUUCUGUGAAUAAAUACUGUGGCAACCACGUUAACUGUACAAAAACAAAUUGCUUAUUUCUUAUAUCCAUGCUGGAAGAUUAUCUGGCUGACCUUAUCAGCUGUGAUGUCAGGAAUGUCAGCCAGUUAUCCUGUGGUGCAUUCAGCUGGGUCAUUGUACCCCAUCAGUGAGGCAAUUGCAAAGUUCCAUCUGGACAGAGAGACGGGGUUUUACCAUGCUGCUGCACACUGGUCUUGAACUCCUGGGCUCUAGUGAUCCACCUGCUCAGCUUCCCAAAGUAAUGGGAAUACAGAAAAGACCAACCACAGUGAUUAAAGGGAUGAAAAAGAUGACCUGCUUGAAAACUCUAAAGAACCCAGUAUUAUUUGAAAGAAGAGGAAGCUGAAUGGUAACUUAAUAACUAUCUUCAGAUUUCAACAGGACUACUACUUCUGUUUUAUCCAUUUCUAUAGAGUUUGAAA
rnacentral:lncRNA from 10 species